ACGUGGUGUGUCACCUAUUAUCAAGUAUUUUAACUUGCCGUUCAACUAGUAUUUUUGUGUUACACAGUUGGUCUCAUAAAUAGUUGGUAAACCAAUUACUAAAUUACAAGUAUCAUCGAAGUCAAUAAUAAAUAAAUAUAAUAUUGGAGCAGUUUUGAAAACAAUAUUUUUAUACCACUUAUCAAAAUGGAGCUCAACUCUAUAAUGUUUCACCAAUCGGAUGUGAUUCUUUCAUCUAAUCUCCAACAUUAUUUGUCCUUCAUUUAUAUAUUUUUUUAUUUAUUCGAACACCUUUUUAAGAUGAAUUUUCCCAGUGACAACAAGGAAAAGUUCAGCAAAAUUAUUAAUUGGAGUUUAUUGGUUUUAUCAAUCAUUAACUCAAUAAUGCCGAGACCACUGCUUGUAUCAGAUGAGGACUCAAUAGCUGUUAUAAAAAGAUAUAUGAGCUACUUCUGUUCAGAUACCUUGCCAGCAUACUCUGCUGAGGUAUGGUCGAAAAUGUCCAAGGAACCAGAAUUUGUGGGUAAAUGGAAUACUGCAGCAGUUAGGACCAACAUAAAAGACAAUCGUAGGGGGAUUUUGACUAGAGCAAGAAAAGAAUGUGGAUAUUUUUCCCAAAUAAUUAAGAAAAAAUUCACUUAUAGUAAUAAUGAUGAUGAUGACAAUGACAGCAAUGAUAAUAAUGAUAAUGAUGACAGUGAUGAUAAUAGCGAUAAGGAUUAUUUUAAUAAACUAUAUGCUAAAGAGCGGGAUGAUGUUCCAUGUUUUCAUGUUGAAAUUGCUAGAGGUGUUUGGGAAUGUAUGUAUAAAAAAGACAAUAGUUGUAAAAAUCCUAGGUUACAGCCGAAAGUGUGGACUGACACUAUUGCCUUUGAAUUAUGGCAUCAGUUUGAACUACCGUGUGCCUUUGUAUUUAAAAAAGGCACAAUUCAUGAAAAUGGAAAUUAUUAUGCGACAUUUAUUGGCAAGUGCAAAAGUAAAGUGUGCAAUAAUCCUAUUUUUGGUUACAUCGAAAACAAUCCUGGGGACAAAGGUUCUGUUUUUAUUAAUUUUCGAUGCCGGGAUACUCGUUUUGAAGUUCAUGAUGAAGUUACAAGGCCACUGCAAGCCGAGCGAAGAAAAAUGUUUAAAACUAUGAUCGAUGCAAAUGGAGUUAAGGGAACUAUUUUGGAGCAAGCUAAAGAUCUGUUAAAACCAGGUAGUACUCAAUGUCCUGUUCUAUUCAAUUCUAAUGUUUUAUAUCAAGUAAAGAAAGAAUCUAAGGAAGAAAAGUUGAAUGUCAAGCCAGAAGAUCGGAGAGAUUUGAUUAAAGCUAUUUAUCGUAUCAACGAGGACGAUAAUCCUGCUCAUCAAAAUUUUAUAAAAGUUGUAAUUGAUACGCCUUUUUCAGUAUUUUAUGUUUCACCGCAACAAAUCCAUUGUUAUAACGAAUACAGGCGUCUUCACAGACACUAUUCUUCUGUUUGUAUUGAUGCUACAGGAGGUCUUGCAAAAAAAUUUCUAGACAGCAAAAAUAAAACUACGAGUAGUAUUUUUUUAUACCAAAUCGUAAUUAAUUUUAGUAAUACUUCACAAUCUGUUUAUCAAAUUUUAUCGGAAAUUCAUGACACUAAGACCAUCAAAUUUGGACUAGAAAACUGGCUUAGUAAAGUUUCGCCUCCGACAGAAGUAGUCUGUGAUGGAUCUCGUGUCCUUUUAAAUGCCUCCUGUUUAGCUUGCAAUAAUUUUUCUUUAUUUGAUUACGUUAAUAGGUGUUUUCAACAUGUCAAAAACGGUGCUUCACUUGACUCUGUAAAAACUUUUAUCAGAUUGGAUACGGCUCAUUUUAUUCAUGCUAUAAGUGGCUGGAAAUGUUGGAAAUCGGUUAUUCAUCCAAGAAUUAAAUCAUUUUACUUAUACAGUGUUGCAUUAUUGAUGGAUUGUAAUAAUUUAAAAGAUUUUGAAAGAAUCCUUGUAUUAAUUUUGAUUGUCUGUGGCACCGAAUAUGAUGAUUCUAUUGUUGAUUUUGAUGGCGAAAUGAUAACUACAAAAGCAGCAAGGUCAGAGUUGGAAAAAUUGAUUGCCAAAAAUGAAUCUCAAGACUUUAUUAAUAAUAUUGAAGACAAAAUUAAAACUAUGGAGUUUGAUCAAGAAAAAAAUGAAACUUUACGCCGAGAGACCAAUACUGAUUUAUUAGAAAAAGACACUACUAUUUCAAGUUGGAUAAAUAAUCUUGUCGCUUUUUCAUUGAAUGUUCAUUCUGAUGGUAGUAAUGAUAUUAAUAAUUUAAACACUUUUUAUGUACCUCUAUUUAAAGAUUCAUUACUUAAAGAAGUGAGAGAGUUUCCGCUAUGGACGAAAGUUUGUAUUCAUUACACGAGUUUACGAGCAACUUCUGCGUACAUAGAGCAAGCGUUUAAAGAAUUGAAAGAGUUAUUAGGUAAAAUGAUUUCUCUCCCUGCACGUGUUGAUUACUUAGUUAAAGCUCAUCUUAAACUUAUUGAUGGUGGUGUCAAAAUUUUUGAACGCGAAUUGUUAAAAUUCGUUAAGAAUUACCAUGCUAAUAAGCAAAAAAAUGAUAAAAUAAAUAGUAAUCCUGAAGACGAAUUAUGCAAAGAAGAUUGCGAACCUAACGAUAAUUUACUCAAUGAAAAUUGGAAUGGACAAGGAUAUGAUAUGAAGCACAACGACUGUGAUUGGUUAGAUUCAGAUUGUCAUUUAUUCAAUGAAGAUAUUCCCACCAAUUUUAAUACUGAGUCAUUUAAUUCUUCUGAAAUUGAUAAUAAUAACGUUUUAGAUAAUAUUGAUUGUAGCGCAAAUGAAAAUAACGAAAAUUUAUAUCAGCCGAAUUUAAAUAAUUUAGUUAAUCUUGAUCACAGUUAUUGUUCCGAUAAUAAUUCACCAUUGAAUGAAAACAGUUUCGAUGCCGCUGUGGAAAAAAAUUUAAGAAUGAUUAAAAAGGAAGGUAAAUACUUCAAAAGUUUUCCCGAAAUCAAUUUAAUAAACAAUUUGGCGCCUUCAAACAAAAAAGAAGAAUUUUUAUUACAAAAUGGUAAUAAAAGCGGACCUGUCUUUUUUCAAAAUGAAUCCUGGUUUGCUUUCAAUACGUGCCCAUUCGACAGUAUUGUUCAGUUGAUUUUCUAUGGAUGUUUACAAAAUGAAGAAUUUAAUAAUUUUGUUAGCAAUUCUUCAAAUUCCACUUUUAAUUUUGUUACCGAUUUUAUGUCAACAGGAUUAAAAAAAGAUAUCUAUGUUAAACGAUUUUCUAUUUUACAUCCUAUCUAUCAAGACACUGAAUGCACACAAAAUCAAAUGAAUAUUGCCAAUCGUAAAACUAAAAACGUAAAUCGUUGUAUUAAUUGUGUAGAUAACGUGAAUAGUUUGUGGAUUAAAUUAUUUACAAGUGAACCAAGUGCAUUCGAAAAUAAUUCAUGUUCAUCAUUCGGCUGCCAAGAUUAUCAACGUAAUAUACCGGUUUUGACUGCAAAUUAUAAUUUAAUCAUGGAAAAAGGGUUUAAAUGUUUGCAAGAAGCAUUACAUUUUAAAAGCAUAGCUUAUAAUAAAUUUUGCACAAGCUGCCAAAAAAAACAAACAACCUGUAAAACGACACUUAAUCGAUAUAUUUACAUUGAAUUAGACGUAAAAUCGGUAAAUGAAAAAGAUGGAACUUCAUGUAAACUUGGUGAAUUACCGAAGUGUUUGGAUUUAAAUGAAACACAUUCAUCAAAAAAAUUUAGUUAUCGCUUGACAGGGGUUAUUGGUUAUAACUCUUUUCACUACAUCACAUAUUGUAGAAACUUGACAGGAAAUUGGCGAUUCUACAAUGACCAACUAGAAAAGUCUAAAUUUAUUAGUGAACGCACGAAAAUUGUACCUCAUGGGAUUUUUUACACUUUAUUCUCACUGUAAAAAAGAAAAAUAUAUUUAUAUAUUUCAGCUUUAGCAAGUAUUUAAAAAAAUGCAAUAAGUGGAUACAAGUGAUAUUGGAAAUCUCUAUACUUCGAUUAUUAUUAAUAUUUUUGCUCAAUUACAUUUAUGAAAACUUAGUGUUAAGGUUGUUGCCAAAAGUAAUAAAAAGUCAUUAAGUGUAAAAUCUAUUUAAGUUUUACGAUUAUAAAAUAAAUAAAAUUAUUAUUAUCAUUAUUAUAUUAUGACGUAAUUUUAAAAUGUUUUAUACUACAAGAUUAAUAUGUUAAACAGAAAAAAUAAAUGUUUUAUAAUGUUAAACAAAUAAAUAAAUAAUUUCAUUUUUUUAAAUAAUGAGUAAGUUUUUUAAACAGUUAAUAAAUAGAAAUACUAAAUCUCUUUUUUUUUUAUUCAUAAAUUUGAUUCAUUUUAGACAUCAACAAAAUCGUUAAAUUAUUAUAUUUACAGGAAGCCGUAGGUCUUUGUUAAUCAUUUUUUUUAUACAAUCAAAAUUAUUUUUUAAGUUAAAUAUUACUGUUUUUGUCGUUAUUUAAAUAAUCUAUAUCAUGAUUGUUUUUUAAUUUAAAUAAUAAUUGUUGUACAGUUAAUUUGUCAUGCAUAAACGACGAACAUCGUUUGUAGAUAAUAGAGGUAUAGAGAACGAUCCAGAGGAGAUAGUAUUAUCUGAGCCUUCGAAGUGAAAGAAAAAACUGUCUUUUAUUAGGACUAAAAUAAUUCAAUAUUUUACAGAAUGAUUUGUGCCAACUAUUCUGUAAUGUUAGAAGAAAUCAAAAGUAAGAUAAGACUCAAUUAUGAGGUACUUUUAUCGGAUUAGUAAAAAACAACAAGAGCCAACUAUGAAACUGAUGUUACUUUAUUACAAAUUACAUUUAUAAUACAAAAAAAGUAUAUUACGGUUAGUUAAGUAGCUGAUGAUAUGAAUAUAAUAUUUGGAAAUGCUGUAAAAUACAAUGUUAAUUUCUAACGUUUAUGCAAGAAUAAUAUAAGGAAAAAGUUCAAGAGUUUUUAGAUUUUGACGUAAAUUUAGAUUCAGAUUAUGGAUCAGAAUUAAAAUCUCAAAAUUAAUUAGUAUAAUGAAAAUUUUAGACUCAAGAAAAAUACAAUAAAAUGAAUAGUUGAAAAAAUGUUUACUUGCAUUAGUUAAGUGUUAACAUUUAUGAAAAAACCAUAGAUGUAAAUAUAUAUCCCGAUUAUUUUAUCAUGCACAAGCUGCUAAUACAACAAUCAAAUGAUAAAUAUCACCUGCUAUAAAUUAUGUUAGUAAGUGUUAAUUUAAAAUUAUAUGCAUAUAUAAAUCUUAUCGAUCUAAUCAAUAAAGAACAUUAAACUGUAUUAGCUUUUGCUUUUAUUCGUUUUUUAUGCUGAUACAUUUCUGUUUUAUUCUGGUUUGAAUCUGGGAAAAUAAUCAUAUAAAAGUAACGACCACGUGGUAACCAUAACCUAUGCAGCGGAUAAUUUGAUCAUAAGUAAAAAAAUAAUUUGUAUUAAAAAAAAAAAAAAAACACAUCAUUUUGAUCAUAAUAAGUAAAAGAUUUUUGCAUUAAUUAUGUCAGUUAGAAAAAAAGACCUUCAUUGAUAUUUUAAUUUAUUAUCUAGCUGUCAAUCAACUACUAAGAAUUUCAUUCAGGGUUUUUAAUUACUAACAUUCCUUUCUGAUACUAAGUUGAUUUUUAAUAAUUUUGAAUACUUCUUGUUUAAAAUUAUGCAUUAAAGUUUACAUGAAUAAACUGUUUAAGUUAUAGGCGUCGUUACACUCCUGUCUAACAUUUAAUGUAUUAAUUAAUUUUCAUUGCACAAGUGCAUGACUCAAUAUUUGAAAAUUUCAAUUAAAAUAAUUUUUUUAUAAAAGUUUCAAUAACAAUAGGUACAAUAUCUAUAUAAAUAGCUAAAUUUUGAAUUGGAAAAAUAUUUCAUUUAUUACUAAGUAAACCACGUGGCUACCAUAACCAAUGCGAUUUCGUAUUUAAUUAUUUAAAAUUAAAUAAUUUCAGAUUGAAAUACUUGAUAAUUAAUUAGACUAUUGUGAAUAAAAUAUUUUUACAUAAAUUAUUUUUUUUUAAAGAAUUGUGCAUUCUUUGAUAUUUUAAUGUUUCCAUUGUUAUCUAGUGUCUUACAUUAUUAAAGAUAAAUUAAUUUUAUUAAUAAUUAAAAAUCUAAUUCUUUGGAGUCGCUCGUUAUUCUUACCUGGAAAUUUAACUAUGUAGAGCACCUAUGUAUAUGUAAAAUAUAUAUUAUAGGGGGUCUUUUGAGUGGGCUUUUGUAAAUAAUUUAGGUUUUUUCAUUGUUAUUUGUACUUCAUAAAACUUCAAAUACAUUUUUAAUGAACUGAUCCACUUUCUAUAAAUGCAGUAAAGAUAAUAAUCAAGUAAUAUAGCUGAGGAUCAAUGACGAAGAAACUAUAAAAAUUGAUUAUACUAAAGUCUUAAAAUUUAAUAACUAUCACCAACACAAUAUGAUUUGAUCAUCAAUGACAUUUUUUAUACCAAUAGAUUUAAUUUUGACGUCACGCAUAAUAUAAAAUGUGGACAUUUUCAUCAUCUAAAAUAUAAGUAAAUAUUAUUAUUAUAACAAUAGAAUGUAAAUUGAUAUAAAUUUGUAUCGAUAAUAAAUUGCAAAAAACCAUUAUAAGAAACCAUAUUAUAUGAAUAUAUACAUA